rnacentral:rRNA from 1 species
CCUACGGGUGGCAGCAGUGGGGAAUAUUGGACAAUGGGGGCAACCCUGAUCCAGCCAUGCCGCGUGAGUGAAGAAGGCCCUCGGGUUGUAAAGCACUUUCAGUGAGGAAGAACGCCUGGUGGUUAAUACCCAUCAGGAAAGACAUCACUCACAGAAGAAGCACCGGCUAACUCCGUGCCAGCAGCCGCGGUAAUACGGAGGGUGCGAGCGUUAAUCGGAAUUACUGGGCGUAAAGCGCGCGUAGGUGGCUUGAUAAGCCGGUUGUGAAAGCCCCGGGCUCAACCUGGGAACGGCAUCCGGAACUGUCAAGCUAGAGUGCAGGAGAGGAAGGUAGAAUUCCCGGUGUAGCGGUGAAAUGCGUAGAGAUCGGGAGGAAUACCAGUGGCGAAGGCGGCCUUCUGGACUGACACUGACACUGAGGUGCGAAAGCGUGGGUAGCAAACAGGAUUAGAUACCCCUGUAGUC